rnacentral:lncRNA from 1 species
AUACUUUUGGACAAUGUUGUAUGUAUGUUUGAAGAAAACAAAGUAACAUAGUAUUAAGCAGUUUGUUGUGCGAUGAGGUUUAAUUGAUAAUGAUGAACGGAUAUCAAAACCGUUAGGUAAAUUGAUGUUCAACAAUGAUAGAUCCCAUUUCCACCACUCUUAAUCAACAGUGGAUAGUGCAUCACCCUGUAAUAGUUACAGCUCUACCUCCAGUUACUGUUAGAGGAAUGAGCACUGUGUUCAACAAUGACUGGUUACAGCUCUACCUCCAGUUACUGUUAGAGGAAUGAGCACUGUGUUCAACAACGACUGGUUACAGCUCUACCUCCAGUUACUGUUAGAGGAAUGAGCACUGUGUUCAACAAUGACUGGUUACAGCUCUACCUCCAGUUACUGUUAGAGGAAUGAGCACUGUGUUCAACAACGACUGGUUACAGCUCUACCUCCAGUUACUGUUAGAGGAAUGAGCACUGAGUUCAACAACGACUGGUUACAGCUCUACCUCCAGUUACUGUUAGAGGAAUGAGCACUGUGUUCAACAACGACUGGUUGCAGCUCUACCUCCAGUUACUGUUAGAGGAAUGAGCACUGUUUUCAAAUCAAAUCAAAUCAAAUGUAUUUAUAUAGCCCUUCUUACAUAAGCUGAUAUCUCAGUGCUGUACAGAAACCCAGCCUAAAACCCCAAACAGCAAGCAAUGCAGGUGUAGAAGCACGGUGGCUAGGAAAACUCCCUAGAAAGGCCAAAACCUAGGAAGAAACCUAGAGAGGAACCAGGCUAUGAGGGGUGGCCAGUCCUCUUCUGGCUGUGCCGGGUGGAGAUUAUAACAGCACAUGGCCUAGAUGUUCAAAUGUUCAUAAAUGACCAGCAUGGUCAAAUAAUAAUAAUCAUAGUAGUUGUCGAGAGUGCAACAAGUCAGUAACACAAGAGUAAGUGUCAGUUGGCUUUUUCAUAGCCGAUCUUUGAGAGUAUCUCUACCGCUCCUGCUGAAAACAGCAGGUCUGGGACAGGUAGCGCGUCCGGUGAAUAGGUCAGGGUUCCAGCAGGUCUGGGACAGCAGGUCUGGGACAGGUAGCACGUCCUGUGAACAGGUCAGGGUUCCAUAGCUGCGGGCAGAACAGUUGGAACUGGAGCAGCAGCACGGCCAGGUGAACUGGGGACAGCAAGGAGUCAAGCCAGGUAGUCCUGAGGCAUGGUCCUAGGGCUCAGGUCCUCCGAGAGAGAGAAAGAAAGAAAGAGAGAAUUAGAGAGAGCAUAUUUAAAUUCACACAGGACACCGGAAAAGACAAGAGAAAUACUCCAGAUGUGACAGACUGACCCUGGCCCCCCGACACAUAAACUACUGCAGCAUAAAUACUGGAGGCUGAGACAUGAGGGGUCAGGAGACACUGUGGCCCCAUCCGAUGAAACCCCCGGACAGGGCCAAACAGGUAGGAUAUAACCCCACCCACUUUGCCAAAGCACAGCCUCCACACCACUGGAGGGAUAUCUCCAACCACCAACAUACCAUCCCGGGACAAGGCCGAGUAUAGCCCACAAAGAUCUCCGCCACGGCACAGCCCAAGGGGGGGCGCCAACCCAGACAGGAAGACCACGUCAGUGACUCAACCCACUCAAGUGACGCACCCCUCCCAGGGACGGCAUGGAAGAACACCAGCAAGCCAGUGACUCAGCCCCCGUAAUAGGGGUAGAGGCAGAGAAUCCCAGUGGAAAGAGGGGAAACCGGCCAGGCAGAGACAGCAAGGGCGGUUCGUUGCUCCAGUGCCUUUCCGUUCACCUUCACACCCCUGGGCCAGACUACACUUAACUUCUCUAGGGCCAGUGGGACGAUUUCGUCCCACCUACGUAACAGCCAGUGGAAUCCCGUGGCGCGUUAUUCAAAUACCUUAGAAAUGCUAUUACUUCAAUUUCUCAAACAUAUGACUAUUUUACACCAUUUUAAAGACAAGACUCUCGUUAAUCUAACCAC